AGAAAUUUAAUUUCUGAGGACUCUUCUAUGUGCUUUUGCAUUUCACAAAUUUUGCGAUAAAAAAACCUAUACAGUCCUUGUUCGCCAACCAGAUGACGUCUUCUCUUCUGGUGUCUCCGAGAGAAUGAAUGUCAGUGUCCUGUAACGGCACAACAGAUGGAUCGAAUCGCUGCAGCUGUUUCAAUUGUGCAAAUGAUAGGCCCGCACCCAUCAUCCCUUCUCCUCCGAUCUGCGGGUUCUGUGGAGAGAAAAAGGGUCAACGUUCUUGAGCAGCAAAGAUCAUCACGUACCGCAGAAAAGAGUUUUCGCUGUAAUGGCUGGUAUGAUGUCACCUCCUUCAAAGUCCAGGUACAAGCCAUGUUGGGUCUCUGGCCCAGUCCACUGCAGGGUGCAUCAAGAAGAAUUCGGUCAAAAGAUUCUGCCUCAAGACCUGGGAGAAGGCCCCAAAACUCUUGAGUGAACUCAAGUCCACCCCUUGAAAACAGAAAUCAAUGGUGAAUAAGGAAAUAUAAGGAGAUUUCCCCUUUUCAUAUAAUAUGAGGCAUUUAAGAAAUAGAAAUAAUCUAGGAACCUGACAAGCAAUCCUGCAGCACCAACUCGAAGAACAGUUAACUUGUCACCUACAGACAGUAGAUCUCAACAAGGUCUAACGUAGUCCACAAUUCUACUUUAAAUGAACUCCAAUAAGAAAAAGCUAACGUACACAGAUGGCUUAUUGGUACAGCGAAUCUUUAGAGACCAGUGGCACAUGCUUCAUGCCUAACAAUGCUAUCGUUUUUGUUAGGUGCCACUGAGUCCGUCCCGACGUACAGUGGCCCAGUGGCCCACGGAGGGAUUCUAGCAGGCUUUCGUAUACAACAGGGGAUCGGUGAAAGAAUUCUGCAGCCUAUUAUUUCAAAGGCAAGCGAAGUGGAAGCACAGCACAAGAGACAUUAUUCAGCAACAUGGACCAUUUCUAUUAGGCAACUUGAACCAAACGGAAAGCACAGCCGGGGGCAAGGUGAGAAGAAAUAAAAGUUGACUACAGAGAGUAACUGAGAAUCCACCACACAGAAUACAGCAUAAAGGAUGAAAUGAGGGAAUGCCUGAAAAACCGCUUGGUCUUGAUAAGUCAAACAU